rnacentral:rRNA from 1 species
GGCGAGGGGAGUGAAUAAGAACCUGAAACCGUGUACGUACAAGCAGUGGGAGCACAGGUUUACCUGUGUGACUGCGUACCUUUUGUAUAAUGGGUCAGCGACUUAUAUUCUGUAGCAAGGUUAACCGAAUAGGGGAGCCGGAGGGAAACCGAGUCUUAAUUGGGCGUUAAGUUGCAGGGUAUAGACCCGAAACCCGGUGAUCUAGCCAUGGGCAGGUUGAAGGUUGGGUAACACUAACUGGAGGACCGAACCGACUAAUGUUGAAAAAUUAGCGGAUGACCUGUGGCU